UACGUAGGGACCGAGCGUUGUCCGGAUUCAUUGGGCGUAAAGAGCUCGUAGGCGGCCACUCAAGUCGAAUGUGAAACCUCGAGGCUCAACCUCGAGCCUGCAUUCGAUACUGGGCGGCUAGAGUCUGGUAGGGGGAUCUGGAAUUCCUGGUGUAGCGGUGGAAUGCGCAGAUAUCUGGAGGAACACCGGUGGCGAAGGCGGCAUCCUGGACCGACACUGACGCUGAGGAGCGAAAGCCAGGGGAGCAAACGGG
rnacentral:rRNA from 1 species